rnacentral:rRNA from 1 species
AUUGAACGCUGGCGGCAGGCCUAACACAUGCAAGUCGAGCGGAGCGGCGGACGGGUGAGUAAUGCCUAGGAAUCUGCCUGGUAGUGGGGGAUAACGUCCGGAAACGGGCGCUAAUACCGCAUACUAUCAGCUGAGCCUAGGUCGGAUUAGGUAGUUGGUGAGGUAAAGGCUCACCAAGACGACGAUCUCUAGCUGGUCUGAGAGGUUGACCAGCCACACUGGAGAUGAGACACGGCCCAGAAUCCUACGGGAGGCAGCAGUGGGGAAUAUUGCGCAAGGGGUGCAACCCUGACGCAGCCAUGCCGCGUGAAUGAAGAAGGCCUUCGGGUUUUAAAGUUCUUUCGGUAGCGAGGCGUUAACUACAGAAGAAGCACCGGCUAACGCCGUGCCAGCAGCGGCGGUAAUAC